UAGCUAUUCUCAUUCAUCAUUUUCUCUCGUUCUUUUGUCUUUUUGGUUGAUAUAAUAUACAAAUAUAUUUGGUGGAAAUUCAUAAAGUUGAUGAUGAGAGGGAGAGAGAGAGCUUUUUAAUUUGCUUAACGAGAUUCCCAUGUCUUUGUUGAACCUUUACACCAUGUAGUCCCGUCCAUUUAACGGAUUUGGGCACCAUCAUUUGAAGUGUGGAUAACUCUCUUUCUUACCCAU
rnacentral:lncRNA from 1 species